ACCUACUGUUUAAUUUUGAGGGUUCGUUUUUACGAAUACUCAAAAUUAGCACUUUUAGCAACAGAAUAAACUGAACGCAUGUGAAGUUUGUUUGUUGGCGCUGUGCUUUAGCACUUUGAAAACUGCAUAUAUAUUUAGUGAUAUGGCAUCUAAUUUGUAAUAUAUAAAGCUGAUAACUUUUUAAAAUUAUCGAAGUUGAUAGCUUCUAAUCUAUCAAACCUUUUUAACUGGUCAA
rnacentral:misc_RNA from 1 species